rnacentral:lncRNA from 1 species
UAGGUUAUCGAUUUAGUUUUUAUCCUUACUAUUCUGUUGUUAUAGCUUAGUUAGUUUAUAUGGUUCAGUUAGGUGAUCAUACUUGAUGUUUGAAUGUUGGUGAGCUGGUUGAAUUUGUGGAUUUGUGGAAUUAUGGAUUUGGUUUAUGGAUCUUCAGUUUUGGGAUGUUUGUAUACUUUGUGGUUCUCGGAUUUGUAUUUAUGGAUUUAC